CCGGCCGGUGCCCCCCGCACGUCUUCCGCCAAUGUCGAGUGCUCCCGUCCGGCAAGUUCAAGAUCGGCGCGGCAGGCAGCAGAUGCGUCGGGUCAUGGCCGUCGGCGGCCCCAACGCCCAAUGGAACGGCGGUGUCCAAGAUUUGCAAUUUGCCGGCGGCUUUGCCGGCGACGACAAUGAUCCCCUGGUGCAGCAGUACCUUGGUAGCGAUACCCCCUCUGCAUCUUUUGAGCACAUGGCCGAUGGCAACACUUUUCUGAACGGAAAUGGAUAUUUUUCCAACAUGAUGACGGAUGAAACCAAUCAAGGGGAUUUUCAUAAUUAUAGCAACACAUAUGUUGACCAACAGUCACAGGCAAUUGAAGAAGUUCCAGCAGCUCCUUCCGCGAGGCCAAACCAUAAGAGAUCCAAGAAUUUCAGUGACCACGAAGAUGAGGUUUUGGUUUCUGGGUGGCUGAAUGUAAGCUUGGAUCCGGUCGUAGGCAAAGAUCAAAAAGGUGCCAAGUAUUGGUCUCGUAUAUAUGAGUACUUCAAUGAACACAAGACGUGCCCCUCUACGCGUACCAUGAAUUCGCUGAUGCAUCGGUGGGAGACCAUACAAAAAGCUGUGAACAAAUUUUGUGGAUGUCUAUCACGAAUUGAGUUAAGACGUCAGAGUGGUACUACAAUAUAAGAUAAGGUUGCAAAGGCAUGUGCUUUGUACAAGUCUGAAGACGAACAUCAAAGAGCAUUCCAGUUCAUGCAUUGCUGGAAUAAGCUGAGAACACAACCAAAAUGGCUUGCUAAAAUUGAUGAAUUGGCUGUUGGUAAAACAUCUAACAAGAAGCAGAAGACAAGCUCAAAUGCUGGCCCAAGUGCAAGUUUACCAAGUGAAUUAGGAGAAGGUGAGGUUCAAGGCAUAGAAGAUAAUGCACUGACAAGGCCAAUUGGUAAGAAGAAGGCAAAAGCAGCACUGCUACAAGAGAAGAAAAAAAGUGUGACAACAACCUUAGAAAAUAUGUGGGUACAGAAGAAAGAAAUUGAUGGGGAGAAGGAGCUAAAAAAAGAGGAGAGGUUCAACAAAGCAUUUGCUCUUGAACAGGAUCGAGUUGCAAAUGAAAAACUACUUAUUGAGCUGAGGAGCCAGGAGGUCCAGUUGCAGAAAAGGAGGGAUGAAGAGAGGAUUAUGACCAUGGACCUUACUACCAUGCCAGAUGAACAAAAGAAAUACUACAUGUCCUUGCGGGCUGAGAUCAUGAGCCGACUAUCUAUGCCUAGUGCUUAAUUACUAUCAUGUUUGUGUUUUGUUGAUUUAGGAACUAUUUUCCAACUACAGACUUGUUUUAUUCACUUUGGAACCUAUUUACUCAGCUAUUAUCUAUUAUAUGUCUAUCGCUCUGUGAGUGGUUGGUGACAUAAAUUAAUGUCAAUUUAAUUGCCGUGAGUGCAUGGA